AACGUAGGAGACAAACGUUAUCCGGAGUUACUGGGCGUAAAGGGCGUGUAGGCGGUUUGUUAAGUCUGGCGUGAAAGCUCUCGGCUAAACCGGGAGAGGUCGUUGGAUACUGGCAGACUAGAGGACGGUAGAGGCGAGUGGAAUUCCUGGUGUAGCGGUGAAAUGCGUAGAUAUCUGGAGGAACACCGGUGGCGAAGGCGACGUCCUGGACCGGCAUUGACGCUGAGGCGCGGAAAGCCAGGGGAGCAAAGCGGG
rnacentral:rRNA from 1 species